CUUAAUUUGGAUCCAUCCCACCCAUCCAUCCGGAUUUGGAUCCAUCUCUUCUCCUCUUCCGUCGCCGCCGAACCAACCCUAGCUAGCUGCCUACCUCGGAUCAGUCCGGCUGCGAGAGGCCACCGGCGGCAUGGCUGCGUGCGAUGCGAGCGCUCUAAUCGGAUCGAAUCAGAUAGAUCUGACCGAAUCCCGCCGCCGCGCCAGCCCCGCUCCCCGUGGCCGAUGACCGCGUCGGCUGGGGCCGCGUCCCUCCCCGGACGGCUGCGAUGAUGGAGGAACCCGCCGGCGCCGGCCAGGCUCCCGAGCGGCCGACGCGCCGGGUCGCCGCUCCUCGGGGCCAUCCCCUCCCGCCGCGCCGGCUCGGCGACCCCUCUGGGAUGCCGCCGGUGCUGGGGAACGUCCGCGGCGGCGCGGCCUGGGGACCGAGCGGCGGGGCCCGUGGUGCUCUCCGGUCGAGGGCUUGGUCGGGCGAGCUCUCGUUGCCGGAUCGCUGACCCAUCGUCCCGGUGGCCGCUGCGUCAGUUCCGCACCGCUACGGAGCCGCCAGCCGCCGCCGUUCCAUUGCCUUGGAUUCGGUUGUGGCGUGGGCCGGAACCGUGCUCUGUUGUCUGAUGCGUUGUUCGAGCCGGGAGGUUUGGUCGGUCGAGGCCAGGCAUGAGCAGCUCCUGAGCAGGAUGGAUGGAUGGAUGCAUUCAUGUGUCGUGAACUAAAACCACGACUCCUAUUUUGGAACGGAGGGAGUAUGUAUGUAUGGAUAUCAUGGUCAUGUUGCUUGGUGUGGGGGUUGAACCUCCUUUUUUGGAAAAAAAAAGAGGGGCAAUGAUGAUGAUGACGACGACGAUGGCUGAAAUAAUCAUGUCUUGAGCAAUCAAGACAGUCGUGGCGUGGUGGUACUAAACAGAGCCGAAAAAUCGGUGUCUGCGUUGGAGUUGGCCUUAGAGCCCACCCUCGCCUCUCUUGCAGCCUGUCUAAUUUAUCGCUGAUGUUGGAUGCUUUGUGCCUCGGACGGUCAUUCUGUUGAGUGAUAACCAUGGCAGUUCUCUUGCAUCGUGAUGGGUAGAUUAUGCAGCAAGAGAUUGUGAGGGUUGGGCUUGAAGAUGGAAGACAAAACUGAGCCUCUUUUGCUAUGCUACAUAUACCCCCCACCCCUCUACCUCUACCCCUAAACCAAAUCAGUCGAGCUCUCAUUGCCUACUCGCUGGCCAAUCUGGGUGGUGCCCGCAUCAGUUCACUGCUGCGGUGCUGCCAGCCUCUGCCGUUCCAUUGCCUUGGAUUUGGCUGUGGCGUGGGCUGGGAACCGUACGGUGUUAUCUGGGGCGUCAUCAGGUUUGGUUGUUCGGUCCAGGCCAGGCAUGAGUAGCUCCUGAGGCUGAUGGGGAUGGAUGGAUGGACAUGUGCAUGCAUGUACAUUCACUCAUUUUGCUCCGUAUGUAGUCCAUAUUGGAAUCUCUAUAAAGGCUUAUAUUUAGAAACGGAGGGAGUAUGAUCUAAACACUCUUAUAUUUCUUUACAGAGGGAGUAUGUAUGUAUGUAUGUAUGUAUUUAUGGAUAUCAGGGUCAUCUUGCUUGGUAGGCAAAGGCGAUGAUGAUGACUGUGGCCGAAAUAAGCAUGUCUUGAGCAAUCAAGACAGCUGUGGCCUGUGGGUAUUAAAUUAGAGCCCACCCUUACCUCCCUUGCAGCCUGUUCAAUUCAUCGGUGAUGUUGGCACCUUGGACGGUCAUUCUGAUGAGUGAUAACCAGGGCAGUUCUCUUACAUUGUGAUGGGUAGAUUAUGCAGCAAGAGAUGUGAGUGUUGGGUUUGAAGAUGAAAUGCAAAACUGAGCCCUCUUUUGCUUACGAUCCUUGUAUCCUCUCUCUCUCUCUCUCUCUCUCCCUCCCCCUCCCUCCCUCUCCCCCCCUCCCCCCCCCCCCCCCCCUCUCUCUCUCUCUCUCUCUCUCUCUCUCCCUCCUCCCUCCCUCCCUCCCUCCCUCCCUCCCUCUCAAACAAAUCAGUCAAGCUUUCAUUGCCGCCUCGCUGACCCAUCGUCCGGGUGGCUGCCAUGUCAGUUCCUGGUCUCUACGGUGCUGCCAGGUGCCGCCAGUCCAUUGCCUUGGAUUUGGUUGUGGCGUGGCUGGGAACCGUAAGGCGUCUGAUGCGUCGUCCACACCGGGAGGUUUGGUGGGUCAAGGCCAGGUAUGAGCAGCUCCUGAGAUUGUCUAAGUUACUCACCACUAUGACUAGUCUGAUGGAUGGAUGGAUGAUGGAUGAUGGAUGGAUUGUUAUGGUCAUGUUGCUUGGGGAGUUGACCUUUUCUUUAAGGGCGAUGAUGAUGCCUGUGGCUGAAAUAAUUAUGUGUUGAGCAAUCAGGACAGCCGUGGCAUGUGGGUACUAAAUAGGCCCCAAAUGGGUGCCGGCAUUGGAGAUGCCCUGAGAGCUCUCACCCUUACUUCUCUUGCAGCCUGUUCAAUUCAUGGCUAAUGUUGGAUGUUCUGCGCCUCGGAUGGUCAUUCUGAUGAGUGAUAACCAGGACAGUUCAAUUACAUCGCUAUGGGCAGGUUAUGCAGCAAGAGACGUGAGUGUUGGGCUUCAAGACGAACAGGCAAAACUGAGCCCUCUUGCUACGCUACAAAUACUCAGUUUUUUCUUCUCCACUAUACAUUGUUUUUAAUUUUCUAUUCCCCUCUAUUGUGUUGAUGUGAGAUCCGGAUCUGGAUUGAUAUCUUCUCUUUGUGACGAACCGAACCACCCUAGCUUUACUUGGGUUGGUUUCUAGUUGGCAUCGUUUUUGCCUUUCUAGUUGUACAUACAUAUAUGAGUCAAACGAUUGCCCUUUUUUCCUCCAAUGCUUGUAGAUAUUGACAGUAAAAUUCAUCUGGUUAACGAUUGCCCUUCUGAUCUGUUAUGUCUCUGUUUUUUAUAAACUGAAGCUCAGAUUACCUUCGUAUUUGUUUUGGUCAGAGCAAACCUUUUGUUAUGAUUCUCUAUGCUAUUUAGUUCAUUGGUAAUUGGUCAGAGCAAACAAUUUGGAAAGUUUAUGUUAUCCUGUUCUUAUUUGGCUUGCAGUGACUCUUUUUUUCUGAAGUGAACAAAUGUAAAUUGCUUCUUUUUGCCAGUAAUACGGCCAUCAGUGCAGUGUUCCAAAUUAACUUCUGAGCACAGGAUAUUUGUUUCCGUUGUGUGUUGAUGAGUUUUAUUCUUCUCUGAAUGUCUACGAUGAUUUCCGCCCCUUGGUGUUGGAGAUCUCUCAAUGUAUCCUGUGAUAGAGAUGCUUUCACUUCUCCUAGGUUGGUUCCAUUCAACUUUGCCCAGUUAGACAGUUGGUCGUUAAACUAGGAGGCCUUGCUCUGCAGCAAGUUUACUAGUUGUGGCAAUUUGUUGCUGGAGAGAGGGAGAGGGAGAGGGAGAGAGAUAUUUUAUUGUUUAUGGUAUCACUUCAUUCAUUCAAAUAGUACUCCCCAAAAUUUUCCCAGGAUUUUGUACCACCUGGAACAUUUCCUAACUUUGGUGAUUCAUGGUGGGUUAAAUCUGAGCCAUUCAUUCAAAUAAUACUCCCCCAAAAUUUCCCAGGAUUUUGUGAACUAUUCCCCAUGUGUCACCCUCCAGCUGCUGAUACUGUGCUUAGCUGCAGAUGUUCUGUAUCUGAUCCAACCUACUUUUCACCCUUACCUGUUGCAUGCACAAAAGGAUAUAUCUAUCUAUUUAUCAGGGUAGAUGAUGAUCAAACUUGGCUGACAAUAAACCUGGUAUCGAUUAUUCGAGGAGCCGUGGGUAUAAAAAACACGCUCUCCCCUCUUUUGGGACCUUUUCAUUCUCACCGAAUAUUGAUGGCUUUGUCUUGGACGGCCAUUCUGUUGAGUGAUAACCAGCAGAGCUUGACUUCAGUGGUGGGGGUUGAUCUGGUGAAUGAAGAGGGUGGGGCUAGGUUGUAUGAUCUAUCAAAGGCGAAUCUGAGCCCUCUCAGUUCAACUAAUACUGUGCCCUCCUAUACAGUAUGGUUUACACAUUUAUUUAUUCCUAUCGCCUUUUUAUGAUAGGAGUGAUAAAUUGCCGUGGUUGUGGCACUGGUCCAUCUCACUAAGAUUGGCUAACACAUAGGUCACCUCUUGUGGUGUUCGGUUUGCUUUCUCAUGAUUUUGUUGUUCAUGGAGGGGACCAGUUCGGUGCAUUCGGGAUUUUGCUCAAGCUCGUCUCACAGUGGUUGGUGGUCCUAGUACUGGUAGUGGUUGAAUGUGUUUACUCCCUUUUCAUGGGGUUAAAUAUGCGAAACAUGAUCUGUGCAUGUCCUCCUUUACUACCAACAACAGCAAAGCCUUUAGUUCCAAACAAGUUGGGGUAGGCUAGAGCUGAAACCCAUAAGAUCUCGCAACCAACUCAUGGUUUUGGCACAUGUAUAGCUAGUUUCACGCUCCCCUGUCCAUGGCUAGUUCUUUGGUCAUAUUCAAUGUCCUUCUUUACCACCCCUAUUAAAUUUUUACUGGUUUUUUUGGUAGUGAUGUACAUUCAAGUUGGUAAGUUGUCAACUUCUUUUCUACUGUUUUGGUCCAGCACCGCAACUGCUAACUGGCCUAGGAAUAAAAUUUGCACGGUUUGCUUUCUGCUGAUGACCAUUUUAAUACAUAUAGAAGCCAAUACGUGAAAAAACACAAUGUUGUCAUAAGCCUGUAUCUACCUAUUAUAAUCUCUUGUUGCAAAAUUACCAUGACUGCCUUCUAUAAAUGGGCCAACUCUGAGCCUCCCGACAAUGAAGUUCUGAGUAAAAAUGAGUGUUCACUUCCCAAAAUUUGAAGUUAUCCUUUCCUUUUUUGAGAAUUUGUAUUUCUUGCUUCUUCGCAUCCAUUGUACAAUAGAAAAAUGUUGAGAGUUCGUUAUGAUAUCAGUUCUUUUGGUAAAUCAUGCUCUGGUGGAUGCAAAGGACUGUUUUGCAAGUUUAUAUUUUCCCACAGAUUUUGUUUGUUUUGCAGUAUGUCAACCACUUCUGUUGUUUUAGGAGCAGUACUCCAGCCACAUUUAAUUUGAGUCUUCUGUAUUUUUUUUCCUUUUUUGUUCUUCCUUUUUCUUGAAUGGCUAUGAUAAUUCUGAUGUCCCUUGGAUGGUUUUUGAAACUAUCUUAUUUGGUGCUGGGUCAGUUUGCUUGUUUCAAUUGCUAUUUGACUUGAUAAUUUCAUUCUUCUAUUGUACUCUUUAUCUACUUAUCAGUUUGUACUUUUGGUUUCUCUUUACUUCUUUACUGGUUUCAACUUAAGGGUCGUAUAGGGCAAGUUCAGCUGUCAAGAUUACUGUUUUUGUGUGUCAUGUUCAUGAAUGGCUGUGAUGAUAUAACCUCCCUGUGAGAGCUUCUAUCUAACACCUGAAUUGAUUUACUUGGUGCUAAACUAGGAUGGCUUGUGUCACAGCAAGUAACCAGUGUAGCGGCUAGCUAUUGCUCCCUAAAGGGCAGCCCGGUGCAGGUGCUUGCGCAGGGCUGUUUCCAGGACUCGAACCCAUGACCUCAAGGUUACAAGGCUACAGCUUUACCGCUGCGCCAAGGCUCCCCUUCUUAACUGUUACUCCCUCCGUUCACAAAUAUAAAUGUUCAUGGUCAUUCUACCAGAAACUCAGUUAUAGUGUUGAGAUCGGAGUGUAUCUGAGCCAUUUACUUAUACAUGUCCCAGUUUUUGUGUCCACCAGUUCAUGAUUUGCUCCUGAUAUAGUGAUUCUUUCUGCUUUUACUGAUUCUCCUGUGGUUUCUGGUCAUCUUGCGCUCUUUGACUAUUGGCUUCUCUGUUAUUCUCUUUGUGGGAUUUGCGCCAAAGUGCUGUUGAUGGCGAUGAUGAGUAAGGCUCAUUCAGAGGUGUAUUGAGAUCAGAUACCAUCACUUGUAUUUAUGGUAUGUGUUAGGGUUAGGGUUUUGUGCGACUAGGUGGAAGCGUGCAAAUCGGGACGGCGUGCUUUCUGUGAGCAACCAUUUGAAUGCUGAAAUGUCACACAGGGGUGUAAGGGCAUCUGCAACGCGGAUCACCAAGUGUAUCUGAUAUAGAGUGGGUUUUGCCCAUAUGAACGCGUUGGAUAUUGCGUGUCUACAUGCUUACUCCGAGGGCCCACAGGGGCUCUGCCUAAUCUGCAGCACUCCUCCCCUAUUUCUAUGUUUGCCUCUUGUGUGUUGCCCUCUUUCUAUGCACCGUUGAUAUUUCCAGUAGUAUGUGAUUUGAACUUCAGUGUACUCUACAUCUUGUUCUCCUAUGUCGUUAAUUCCUUAGCUUUCAGUGGGUAAUUUUUAAACUACUACUUCCUUUAACGACAUAAUUUUCAUGAAAUGUAUAGGAAUAAAACCAGCCGCCUAGAAAUCUUGUUAUUAGAUAAUCACAAGCUACAAGAGUAUGAACUACCACCUUGAUAUCACCAUGAGAUACUUCCAAGUCUGAUGAGUUAUGAUGAUGUACUCUGGUGAGGUAAUGACAAGUAUGCCUUGAGCAGCAAUGAAGCUUUUUUAUAUGUCCGCCCUUCUCUGUACUGAUGCAUGUUCAAGUCAUAUAUACGGUGCUGUAGUUCACAUGGUCAAUCUGAUAACAUGCUCGUAAUAUUUGGAUGCAACUGAGUGAGUGCGUAUGAGCAUUAAGAUGGUGAGAAUAUUAAUUGUCAUGGCUUGUAAUGAAAUUUGGUUACCUAGGGAGCGUUCGGUUUCUCUCCGCUCCCGGAGUGGACCAGACUUCAGCUCACUUUAACGGAGUUGCCAAAACUGAGCUCCACCAACUCAGUGGAGAGAUUUCAAACGGGGCCCUAAUGUCAGUGGCUUGGCUUUACGCAUGAGCCCUCGAUGCAGUUGUACUAGUACCAUACAAUCUGUACGUAUAAUAUUUAUUCGAUUCGGGUGCCCAUGGGCGGCUCAACCCAUGCGUCGGAUUGCCGGCUUAGGCAGGGCUAGAAUUUAAUGGCCUAGUAACGUCUUACAUUUAGUACAGAGGGUGCAUUCUUUCAAAAGUACUCCCUCUGUAAACUAAUAUAAGAGUGUUUAGAUAACUAAAGUAGUGAUCUAAACAUUUUUAUAUUAGUUUACAGAGGGAGUACUUGACAGAUGACGUCCUGCCGAAUGACACACGCACGACGCCUAAUCCAACCGUCUCUUGCUGAUUUGACUUGCCCCUAAAUGGUGUGAUAUGGCAUGUCGUCUGAAUUUCGGCUAGCCACCGUCGUCGUCCGUGUAGCAGUUCGCAGUUCUCUUUUUUUUUUUUGAUAACUACAGCUGUUCCUGGAUUUUGCUAUGUUGACUAAUUUUCUCGCCAUAUACAUGUUGAGUGUUGCUAUACAUACACAUAGAUAAUGCCCAGUAAAAAUAUUUUUUUUGAAACCAAGGCAAAAGAUUUGCCUCAUUCAUUAAUUAGAGAGAGAGGGAGUGAGGGAGGGAGGGUUCAAACUACAUCACAUUGGCUCCACACCAUAGCCCAAUAGAGAUAGUAUAUACAUCACGAACACCUACCAACACAAAAAUGCGCGGCAUGAUGAUGCUCAGAUGCCUACCUCCUGCCGUGAUCCAAAAGCUUUGACUCGUCCUGGAUGAGCUUGAGAAUGUAGAAGGGGUGGAUGAGCAUGACAAUGUUAGCGGAUUUCUUUCUAAACACUAGAAUUUCUCUGCAUUGUUAGUGAAGCCAUGGCCUUCUGGUAUGCAGUAUUGGGCUUUGAUGUAUUGGUCCACCAAUUCUUGGUGUUUUGCUUUGUUGCCCAUCUAUUAAUCUCAAGCACAUCUAGACCAAAUCUAGUACUCCCUCCGUUUCAAAUUACUCGUCGUGGUUUUAGUUCACGGCGAGUAAUUUGAAACGGAGGGAGUAUUGUUUGAACUAAAACCACGACGAGUAAUUUGGAACAGAGUUAGUAUUUCCAAACAUACGAAAAAAGACAACAUCUGCGUUUGUUUGAGGCGCUCGUGUUGAGGUUGGCCUAAGUUAAGCAAUGUCUUGACGGCGACGACAUGAGAAAACUGUUUUGCUAAAGCACAUCUAAAUAUAAUUUAAACAUUGCACAUAUAAAUUCUCUGUCAUUGGUUUUUAUGGAGAUUCGCGGAGAAAAUGCACCGCCACGACACGAGAGGACACGUGCACUCUGUCUAUUUCUAGUGCGCUAGUCGCCACUCCACUGCAUGCCUGCCCUCAUCCUUCCCCUCCCCUCGCCUACAACUACCCCCCCGCUCUCAUUCCCCUUCCCCUCCCAUGCAUCGACGGAGUAUUAUUUUUGCUAAAUGACCCCUUCACUGCUCCCUAUUUACAGCAUCUACACCUGGACCUGGACCCGGAUCUGGCUCGGACCAGUCCGGGUGCGAGAGGCCACCGGCGGCGGAGCAUGCAACGCGAGCGCUCUAACCAUAUCUCCCGAGCGGCGGACGCGCCGGGUCGCCGCUCCCUCGGGCCAGCCCCCCUCGCCGCAUCGGCUCGGAGGCCCCUCGGGGCUGCCGCCGGUGCGGGGGGCGUCCGCGGCCGUGCGGGCUGGGGACCGAGCGGCGGGGCCCGUGGUGCGCUCCGGUCGAGGGCUUGGUCGGGCCGGCGCGGGAUCUGAGCCGCCGUCCAUGGAUUUCUCGCAGCUUGGCUGCAUCUUGCUUUCGAUCUGGUACUGUCCCCUCAUCUCUCUCUCUUUCUCAGACUCUCACACCAGUAAAUCCUAAACCGAAUCAGCCGAGCUCUCGUUGCCGCCUCGGUUCCCCAGCGCUGCUACGGUGCCGCCAGCCACCGCCAUUCCAUUGCCUUGGAUUCGGUUGAGGCGUCGGCUGGGAACCGUAGGAUGACGCAUCGCCUGAUGCGUCGUCCGUGCGGGAGGUUCGGUCGAGGCCAGGCAUGAGCAGCUCCUGAGAAGGAUGGAUGAAUGGAUGCAUUCAUGUGUCGUGAACUAAAACCACGACACUUGGUUCGGAACGGAGGGAGUAUAUUUCUAAACCAAAUCAGGCGAGCUCUCGUUGCCGGAUCGCUGACCUAUCGUCCGGAUGUCCGCCGCGUCAGUUCCCCACCGCUACGUGCCGCCAGCCGCCGCCGUCCCAUUGCCUUCGAUUCGGUUGUGCGCGUGGGCUGGGAACCGUACGGUGUUGUCUGAUGCGUCGUCGGAGCCGGGGUUUUGGUCGGCCGAGGCCAGGUAUGAGCGGCCCCUGAGCAGGAUGGGUGGAUGGAUCUAUGGAUAGAUGGAUGUAUGCAUGCAUAUAUGUAUAUAUGGAUAUCAUGGUCAUGUUGCUUGGGGGUCCAACAUCCUUUUCCUUUUUGGAAAAAAGAGAGGGGCGAUGCCGAUGAUUAUGACUGUGGUUGAAAUAAUCAUGUCUUGUUUCGCAAAAAAGAAAGAAAGAAAUAAUCAUGUCUUGAGCAAUCAAGACAGCCUGGCGAGGUGGGACUAAACAGUGCCAGAAAAUUGGUGUCUGAGGUGGAGUUGGCCUUAGACCCCACCCUUACCUCUCUUGCAGCCUGUCCAAUUCAUCGCGGAUGUUGGAUGUUCUGUGCCUUGGACGGUCGUUCUGAUGAGUGAUAACCAGGGCAGUUCUCUUACACUGCGAUGGGUAGAUUAUGCAGCAAGAGAUGUGAGUGUUGGGUUUCAAGAUGAAAUGCAAAACUGAGCCCUCUUUUGCUCAGUUCAGUUGCAUUUUGUUUUGGAUUCGGUAUGAAUCCUCCUCACCUCUCUCUCUCUCUCUCUCUCUCUCUCAACAAACCAGUCAAGCUCUCAUUGCCGGCUUGCUACCCCAUCAUCCGGGUGGCUCCCACGUCAGUUCCCCGUCUCUACGGUGCUGCCAGCCACUGCCAUUCCAUUGCCUUGGAUUUGGUUGUGGCGUGGGCUGGGAACCGUAAGGCGUUGUCUGAUGGGUCGUCCACACUGGGAGGUUUGGUCAGCUGACGCCAGGUAUGAGCAGCUCCUGAGACUGAGACUAGUCAUAGUGGGAGUAACUAAGGUUUUAGUUCUAAUUGAACUAAAACCACGACAGUAAUUAUGGAACGGAGGGAGUAGUAACAUGCAUGCCACAUAGGCAAAAAAGAUUAUGUGACAAGUAAUUAAAGAGGAUGGAUGUGUGCAUGCCUGUAAUGGAUAUCAUGGAUGCGACAAGUUACUUACCACUACGACCAGCCUAAUGGAUGGAUGAUGUAUGCUUGCUACUGUGUGAUGAAGAGAUGGAGUUCUUACCAGGGGCGAUGAUGAUGACCGUGGCUGAAAUAAGCGUGUCUUGAGCAAUUAAGACAGCUGUGGCCUGUGGGUCCUAAAUUAGAGUGCAUCCUUACCUCUCUUGCGGCCUGUUCAAUUCAUUGCUAAUGUUGGAUGUUCUGCGCCUUGGAUGGUCAUUCUGAUGAAUGAUAACCAGGACAGUUCUUUUACAUUGUAAUGGGUAGAUUAUGCAGCAAGAGAUGUGAGUGUUGGGCUUGAAGAUGAAAGGCGGAACUGAGCCCUC